rnacentral:rRNA from 1 species
AAUGGGACCCUAGUGGCGGACGGGUGAGUAACGCGUGGGUAACCUGCCCCNUACCGGGGGAUAACACUUAGAAAUAGGUGCUAAUACCGCAUAAGCGCACGGUACUGCAUGGUACAGUGUGAAAAACUCCGGUGGUAUGGGAUGGACCCGCGUCUGAUUAGCUUGUUGGCGGGGUAACGGCCCACCAAGGCGACGAUCAGUAGCCGGCCUGAGAGGGUGGACGGCCACAUUGGGACUGAGACACGGCCCAAACUCCUACGGAAGGCAGCAG